GACGAACGCUGGCGGCGUGCCUAAUACAUGCAAGUCGAACGCAGUGGGGACGGGUGAGUAACACGUGGGUAACCUCCCAUCAGAGGGGAUAAAACUUGGAAACAGGUGCUAAACCGAUACUGAUGGAUGGACCCGCGGUGCAUGAGCUAGUGGGUGAGGUAACGGCUCACCAAGGCCACGAGGCAUAGCCGACCUGAGAGGGGGAUCGGCCACGCUGGGACUGAGACACGGCCCAGACUCCUACGGGAGGCAGCAGUGGGGAAUCUUCGGCAAUGGACGAAAGUCUGACCGAGCAACGCCGCGUGAGUGAAGAAGGUUUUCGGAUCGUAAAACUCUGUUGUUGGAGAAGCGGUAUCUAACCAGAAAGCCACGGCUAACUACGUGCCAGCCGCCGCGGUAAUAC
rnacentral:rRNA from 1 species